UAAGCCUGUGAAGGUGUGUCGUGAGGCAUGCUGGAGGUAUCAGAAGUGCGAAUGCUGACAUAAGUAACGAUAAAGCGGGUGAAAAGCCCGCUCGCCGGAAGACCAAGGGUUCCUGUCCAACGUUAAUCGGGGCAGGGUGAGUCGACCCCUAAGGCGAGGCCGAAAGGCGUAGUCGAUGGGAAACGGGUUAAUAUUCCCGUACUUGGUGUUACUGCGAAGGGGGGACGGAGAAGGCUAUGUUGGCCGGGCGACGGUUGUCCCGGUUUAAGCGUGUAGGUGUGUGUUCCAGGUAAAUCCGGUUCACUUUAACACUGAGGCGUGACGACGAGGCACUACGGUGCUGAAGCAACAAAUGCCCUGCUUCCAGGAAAAGCCUCUAAGCAUCAGGUAACAUCAAAUCGUACCCCAAACCGACACAGGUGGUCAGGUAGAGAAUACCAAGGCGCUUGAGAGAACUCGGGUGAAGGAACUAGGCAAAAUGGUGCCGUAACUUCGGGAGAAGGCACGCUGACACGUAGGUGAAGUGAUUUACUCAUGGAGCUGAAGUCAGUCGAAGAUACCAGCUGGCUGCAACUGUUUAUUAAAAACACAGCACUGUGCAAACACGAAAGUGGACGUAUACGGUGUGACGCCUGCCCGGUGCCGGAAGGUUAAUUGAUGGGGUCAGCGCAAGCGAAGCUCCUGAUCGAAGCCCCGGUAAACGGCGGCCGUAACUAUAACGGUCCUAAGGUAGCGAAAUUCCUUGUCGGGUAAGUUCCGACCUGCACGAAUGGCGUAAUGAUGGCCAGGCUGUCUCCACCCGAGACUCAGUGAAAUUGAACUCGCUGUGAAGAUGCAGUGUACCCGCGGCAAGACGGAAAGACCCCGUGAACCUUUACUAUAGCUUGACACUGAACAUUGAGCCUUGAUGUGUAGGAUAGGUGGGAGGCUUUGAAGUGUGGACGCCAGUCUGCAUGGAGCCGACCUUGAAAUACCACCCUUUAAUGUUUGAUGUUCUAACGUGGACCCGUGAUCCGGGUUGCGGACAGUGUCUGGUGGGUAGUUUGACUGGGGCGGUCUCCUCCUAAAGAGUAACGGAGGAGCACGAAGGUUGGCUAAUCCUGGU
rnacentral:rRNA from 1 species